UGGAAGACUCGUCGGCACCGAGGUAUAAUUCACAGCAUGCAAUUUCUCGGUUCAUUUAAGGUGAUCUACAUUUCUCUGACGAGUCUCUUUUCCCGGUUUCCAGAGCUUGAGGUCAUUUCUGGGAGAAGAAAACCUUAAGGAAUUUAUAAACUUUACACUGCAUUAUAUCGCUGACUUGGAUAUCCCCAUAAAAAGGGGUACAUUCAUAGAAUUCCGAAGUGGGAU